rnacentral:rRNA from 1 species
CUCAGAUUGAACGCUGGCGGAAUGCUUUACACAUGCAAGUCGAACGGUAGAGGGGGCAACCCUUGAGAGUGGCGAACGGGUGAGUAAUAUAUCGGAACGUGCCCAGUCGUGGGGGAUAACGUAGCGAAAGCUACGCUAAUACCGCAUACGAUCUAUGGAUGAAAGCGGGGGAUCGCAAGACCUCGCGCGAUUGGAGCGGCCGAUAUCAGAUUAGGUAGUUGGUGAGGUAAAGGCUCACCAAGCCGACGAUCUGUAGCUGGUCUGAGAGGACGACCAGCCACACUGGGACUGAGACACGGCCCAGACUCCUACGGGAGGCAGCAGUGGGAAUUUUGGACAAUGGGCGCAAGCCUGAUCCAGCAAUGCCGCGUGCAGGAUGAAGGCCUUCGGGUUGUAAACUGCUUUUGUACGGAACGAAACGGUGAGCUCUAAUACAGUUUGCUAAUGACGGUACCGUAAGAAUAAGCACCGGCUAACUACGUG